rnacentral:rRNA from 1 species
AUUGAACGCUGGCGGCAGGCCUAACACAUGCAAGUCGAGCGAGGCGCGGACGGGUGAGUAAUGUAUGGAAAUGUGCGCGGUAGAGGGGGAUAACUAGGGGAAACGGUGGCUAAUAGCGCAUACUCACGGGUGACCCCAUAGGGGUUUAGCUAGUAGGUGGGGUAACGGCUCACCUAGGCGACGAUCUCUAGCUGGUCUGAGAGGAUGACCAGCCACACUGGAACUGAGACACGGCCCAGACUCCUACGGGAGGCAGCAGUGGGGAAUAUUGCACAAUGGGCGCAAGCCUGAUGCAGCCAUGCCGCGUGUAUGAAGAAGGCCUUAGGGUUGUAAAGCACUUUCAGCGGGGAGGCGUUACCCGCAGAAGAAGCACCGGCUAACUCCGUGCCAGCAGCCGCGGUAAUAC